rnacentral:rRNA from 1 species
AGCGAACGCUGGCGGUAGGCCUAACACAUGCAAGUCGAACGAACUCUUCGGAGUUAGUGGCGGACGGGUGAGUAACCCGUGGGAACGUGCCUUUAGGUUCGGAAUAACUCAGGGAAACUUGUGCUAAUACCGAAUGUGCCCUUCGGGGGAAAGAUUUAUCGCCUUUAGAGCGGCCCGCGUCUGAUUAGCUAGUUGGUGAGGUAAAGGCUCACCAAGGCGACGAUCAGUAGCUGGUCUGAGAGGAUGAUCAGCCACAUUGGGACUGAGACACGGCCCAAACUCCUACGGGAGGCAGCAGUGGGGAAUCUUGCGCAAUGGGCGAAAGCCUGACGCAGCCAUGCCGCGUGAAUGAUGAAGGUCUUAGGAUUGUAAAAUUCUUUCACCGGGGACGAUAAUGACGGUACCCGGAGAAGAAGCCCCGGCUAACUUCGUG